rnacentral:rRNA from 1 species
CUGUCCUAAAAUCGAUAAUCCACGAUCAACCUCACCCGCCUUUGCAAUAACAGCCUAUAUACCUCCGUCGCCAGCCCGCCUGAAAACAGAAAAAUAGCGAGUGCAACAACUAAUCGUUAAUACGACAGGUCACGGUGUAGCUUAUACGCGGGGCAGAGAUGGGCUACAUUUCUUAAUAUAAUAAAUACCUACCCCGCCAUGAAAUCUGCGGAACGAGGUGGAUUUAGCAGUAAGUUAGGCAAGAAAGCCUAUCUGAAGCGCGCUCUGAAAUGUGC